rnacentral:rRNA from 1 species
UACGUAGGGUGCAAGCGUUGUCCGGAAUUAUUGGGCGUAAAGGGCUCGUAGGCGGUCCAUCGCGUCGGGAGUGAAAAGCUGGGGCUCAACCCCAGUCCUGCUUUCGAUACGGGUGGACUAGAGGUAUGCAGGGGAGAACGGAAUUCCUGGUGUAGCGGUGAGAUGCGCAGAUAUCAGGAGGAAUACCGGUGGCGAAAGCGACUCUCUGGACGGCAACUGACGCUGAGGCACGAAAGCGUGGGGAGCAAACAGG